UACGUAGGGUGCAAGCGUUGUCCGGAAUUAUUGGGCGUAAAGAGCUCGUAGGCGGUCUGUCACGUCGGCUGUGAAAACCCGAGGCUUAACCUCGGGCUGGCGGUGGAUACGGGCAGACUAGAGGUAGGUAGGGGAGAAUGGAAUUCCCGGUGUAGCGGUGAAAUGCGCAGAUAUCGGGAGGAACACCGGUGGCGAAGGCGGUUCUCUGGGCCUUACCUGACGCUGAGGAGCGAAAGCGUGGGGAGCGAACAGG
rnacentral:rRNA from 1 species